GACGAACGCUGGCGGCGUGCUUAACACAUGCAGGUCGAACGGAAAGGCCCCUUUGUGGGUACGCGAGUGGCGGACGGGUGGGUAACUCGUGAGUAACCUGCCCUUGACUUCGGUAGAACUUAAGGAAACUAGGGCGAAUACCGGCUAGGAAUGCGUGCCGCCUGGAGGGGGGGGGAAAGAUUGGGCGGGUGGGUGUGGACGGGCUGGUGGUGUGUUUGUUGGUUGGGGGGGUGGUUGCCUAGCAAUGGAUUGACGGGUAGCCGGCCCGGGCGGGCGACCGGCCAAAUUGGGAAUGAGAUACGGCCCAGACUCCGUCGGGGGGGAGCAGGGGGGAAGAUUGGACAAGGGGCGGGAGGCUGAUGCCGCAACGCCGCGGGCGGGAUGACGGGCCUCGGGUUGUAAACCGCCUUCCGCAGGGGAGAAGCUUGUGGUGACGGUACCUGCAGAAGAAGCACCGGCUAACUACGUG
rnacentral:rRNA from 1 species